UCAAAACGACUCUCGGCAACGGAUAUCUCGGCUCUCGCAUCGAUGAAGAGCGCAGCGAAAUGCGAUACUUGGUGUGAAUUGCAGAAUCCCGUGAACCAUCGAGUCUUUGAACGCAAGUUGCGCCCGAAGCCAUUAGGCCGAGGGCACGUCUGCCUGGGCGUCACGCAU
rnacentral:rRNA from 1 species